AGCUAAUAGAUACCCGGGUAGUCCACGCCCUAAACGAUGUCUACUAGUUGUUGGUGGAGUAAAAUCCAUGAGUAAACGCAGCUAAACGCGUGAAGUAGACCGCCUGGGGAGUACGGUCGCAAGAUUAAAACUCAAAGGAAUUGACGGGGGCCCGCACAAGCGGUGGAUUAUGUGGAUUAAAUUCGAUGCAACGCGAAAAACCUUACCUGGCCUUGACAUGCCACUAACGAAGCAGAGAUGCAUUAGGUGCCCGUAAGGGAAAGUGGACACAGGUGCUGCAUGGCUGUCGUCGGCUCGUGUCGUGAGAUGUUGGGUUAAGUCCCGCAACGAGCGCAACCCUUGCCGUUAAUUGCCAUCAUUUAGUUGGGCACUUUAAUGGGACUGCCGGUGACAAACCGGAGGAAGGUGGGGAUGACGUCAAGUCCUCAUGGCCCUUAUGGCCAGGGCUUCACACGUAAUACAAUGGUCGGUACAGAGAGUUGCCAACCCGCGAGGGGAGCUAAUCUCAGAAAGCCGAUCGUAGUCCGGAUUGUUCUCUGC
rnacentral:rRNA from 1 species